rnacentral:rRNA from 1 species
AGCAGCCGCGGUAAUUCCAGCUCCAAUAGCGUAUAUUAAAGUUGUUGCAGUUAAAAAGCUCGUAGUUGAAUUUCGGGACUAUCAUGUCGGUCGUGCCUCGGUACGUACUGGCAUUGUUGGUUUCUACCUUCUGACGAACCAUGAUGUCAUUUAUUUGGUGUCGUGGGGAAUCAGGACUGUUACUUUGAAAAAAUUAGAGUGUUUAAAGCAGGCUCACGCUUGAAUACAUUAGCAUGGAAUAAUGAAAUAGGACGUUUGAUUCUAUUUUGUUGGUUUCUAGGAUCGAUGUAAUGAUUAAUAGGGAUAGUUGGGGGCAUUAGUAUUCAAUUGUCAGAGGUGAAAUUCUUGGACCGCCGGAAGACGGACAACUGCGAAAGCAUUUGCCAAGAAUGUUUUCAUUAAUCAAGAACGAAAGUUAGAGGUUCGAAGGCGAUCAGAUACCGCCCUAGUUCUAACCGUAAACGAUGACAACCAGCGAUUAAUCGGCGUUAAUAUACGACCCGAUUAGCAGCUUCCGGGAAACCAAAGUGUUU